rnacentral:rRNA from 1 species
UACGGAGGCAGCAGUGGGGAAUAUUGCACAAUGGGGGGAACCCUGAUGCAGCAACGCCGCGUGAGUGAAGAAGGCAUUCGUGUCGUAAAACUCUGUAGUAGGGGAAGAAAGAAAUGACAGUACCCUAAAAGAAAGCCCCGGCUAACUACGUGCCAGCAGCCGCGGUAAU